rnacentral:rRNA from 1 species
AGCGAACGCUGGCGGCAGGCCUAACACAUGCAAGUCGAACGAACUCUUCGGAGUUAGUGGCGGACGGGUGAGUAACACGUGGGAACGUGCCUUUUGGUUCGGAAUAACUCAGGGAAACUUGUGCUAAUACCGAAUGUGCCCUUCGGGGGAAAGAUUUAACGCCAUUAGAGCGGCCCGCGUCUGAUUAGCUAGUUGGUGAGGUAACGGCUCACCAAGGCGACGAUCAGUAGCUGGUCUGAGAGGAUGACCAGCCACACUGGGACUGAGACACGGCCCAGACUCCUACGGGAGGCAGCAGUGGGGAAUCUUGCGCAAUGGGCGAAAGCCUGACGCAGCCAUGCCGCGUGAAUGAUGAAGGUCUUAGGAUUGUAAAAUUCUUUCACCGGGGACGAUAAUGACGGUACCCGGAGAAGAAGCCCCGGCUAACUUCGUG